rnacentral:rRNA from 1 species
AGUGAACGCUGGCGGUAGGCCUAACACAUGCAAGUCGAACGGCAGCACAGUAAGAGCUUGCUCUUACGGGUGGCGAGUGGCGGACGGGUGAGGAAUACAUCGGAAUCUACUUUUUCGUGGGGGAUAACGUAGGGAAACUUACGCUAAUACCGCAUACGACCUACGGGUGAAAGCAGGGGAUCUUCGGACCUUGCGCGAUUGAAUGAGCCGAUGUCGGAUUAGUUAGUUGGCGGGGUAAAGGCCCACCAAGGCGACGAUCCGUAGCUGGUCUGAGAGGAUGAUCAGCCACACUGGAACUGAGACACGGUCCAGACUCCUACGGGAGGCAGCAGUGGGGAAUAUUGGACAAUGGGCGCAAGCCUGAUCCAGCCAUACCGCGUAGGUGAAGAAGGCCUUCGGGUUGUAAAGCCCUUUUGUUGGGAAAGAAAAGCAGCAGGUUAAUACCCCGCUGUUCUGACGGUACCCAAAGAAUAAGCACCGGCUAACUUCGUG